AGCCCCUCUGCCUGGCUGUCCAGUCUGGAAAGUGAGGAGCGCCUCUUCCCGGCCGCCAUCCCAUCUAGGAAGUGAGGAGCGUCUCUGCCCGGCCGCCCAUCGUCUGAGAUGUGGGGAGCGCCUCUGCCCCGCCGCCCCAUCUGGGAUGUGAGGAGCGCCUCUGCCCGGCCCGACCCCAUCCGGGAGGAACUGGCAGAUGGAAGAGAAGCAUUGAGCAAGGCUGGAGAUGGAGUGGGGGAACCUGCAGUGCCCUCGAUGGACCACCACCCUGCCAGCGUUUGGAUGUGUUCACCAACCUGAAAAUCCAUCAAAUCUUGUUCAAAAGUCUUCAUAGAGUCCAAGCGCUAGCUCUUCCUCCCUUUCCUGGAGGUUGGCGGGCAAGGUUGAAAGUUCCAGCACUCUAACUAACCACUGUGUCAUCCUAGUGACCAGCCCCAUCCUGAAGCUAUCUAGGGACCUCAUCCUGAAUUACUUCAUUAGCAUAAACUUAAGUAUGAUCAAAAGGGGGUUUUAGGCCCUGGGGCGGUGGCUCACGCCUGUAAUCCCAGCACUGUGGGAGGGCGAGGGGAGUGGAUCAUGAGAUCAAGAGAUCAAGACCAUCCUGGCCAACAUGGUGAACCC
rnacentral:lncRNA from 10 species